UAAAGUCAAGUUACAACAGCCUCCUGUGUCUUGGCGAAACAUCAAUAUUCAACGCGCCGCCACAAGAACGCCGUUUCACGAAAACACAAAAGCUUCACAAUUUAGCAUCCUGAAGGUGUUGAGAUUCGGAGGAGUUCGUAAAAGUAUGCAUACAAUACAU